GCGCCCAUAGCUCAGCUGGAUAGAGUGACAGACUUCGAAUCUGGAGGCCGCAGGUUCGAAUCCUGCUGGGCGCACCA
rnacentral:tRNA from 1 species